UGGAGGCAAUCUUGAAAUACCACCCUUGUAUGUUUGAUGUUCUAACUUGGUUCCCUAAUCGGGAAUGAGGACAGUGCCUGGUGGGUAGUUUGACUGGGGCGGUCUCCUCCCAAAGAGUAACGGAGGAGCACGAAGGUGGGCUAAUCACGGUUGGACAUCGUGAGGUUAGUGCAAUGGCAUAAGCCCGCUUGACUGCGAGAAUGACAAUUCGAGCAGGUGCGAAAGCAGGUCAUAGUGAUCCGGUGGUUCUGAAUGGAAGGGCCAUCGCUCAACGGAUAAAAGGUACUCCGGGGAUAACAGGCUGAUACCGCCCAAGAGUUCAUAUCGACGGCGGUGUUUGGCACCUCGAUGUCGGCUCAUCACAUCCUGGGGCUGAAGUCGGUCCCAAGGGUAUGGCUGUUCGCCAUUUAAAGUGGUACGCGAGCUGGGUUUAGAACGUCGUGAGACAGUUCGGUCCCUAUCUGCCGUGGGCGUUGGAAGAUUGAAGGGGGCUGCUCCUAGUACGAGAGGACCGGAGUGGACGAACCUCUGGUGUUCGGGUUGUGUCGCCAGACGCAUUGCCCGGUAGCUAAGUUCGGAAUCGAUAACCGCUGAAAGCAUCUAAGCGGGAAGCGAGCCCUGAGAUGAGUCUUCCCUGGCGCUUAAAGCGUCCUAAAGGGUUGUUCGAGACUAGAACGUUGAUAGGCAGGGUGUGUAAGCGUUGUGAGGCGUUGAGCUAACCUGUACUAAUUGCCCGUGAGGCUUAACCAU
rnacentral:ncRNA from 1 species